UACGUAGGGGGCAAGCGUUGUCCGGAUUUAUUGGGCGUAAAGAGCUCGUAGGCGGUCUGUUACGUCCGCUGUGAAAACCCAGGGCUUAACCCUGGGCUUGCAGUGGAUACGGGCAGACUAGAGGCAGGUAGGGGAGAAUGGAAUUCCCGGUGUAGCGGUGAAAUGCGCAGAUAUCGGGAGGAACACCGGUGGCGAAGGCGGUUCUCUGGGCCUGACCUGACGCUGAGGAGCGAAAGCGUGGGGAGCGAACAGG
rnacentral:rRNA from 1 species